GGGCUAGUGGCGGAAUUGGUAUACGCGCGCGCCUUAAGAGCGUGUGGGGAAACCCUUGUGGGUUCGAGUCCCACCUAGCCUA
rnacentral:tRNA from 1 species